rnacentral:rRNA from 1 species
UACGUAGGGGGCAAGCGUUGUCCGGAAUCAUUGGCGUAAAGAGCGUGUAGGCGGCCCGAUAAGUCCGCUGUGAAAGUCCAGGGCUCAACCCUGGGAUGCCGGUGGAUACUGUCGGGCUCGAGUCCGGAAGAGGCGAGUGGAAUUCCUGGUGUAGCGGUGAAAUGCGCAGAUAUCAGGAGGAACACCGGUGGCGAAGGCGGCAUCCUGGACCAACACUGACGCUGAGGAGCGAAAGCCAGGGGAGCAAACGGG